UACGUAGGCAGCAAGCGUUGUUCGGAAUUACUGGGCGUAAAGCGCGCGUAAGCGGCCCUGCAAGUCGGGGGUGAAAGCCCGAGGCUCAACCUCGGAACUGCCUUCGAUACUGCGGGUCUCGAGUCCGGGAGAGGUGAGUGGAAUUCCUAGUGUAGAGGUGAAAUUCGUAGAUAUUAGGAAGAACACCAGUGGCGAAGGCGGCUCACUGGCUCGGUACUGACGCUGAGGCGCGAAAGCGUGGGGAGCAAACAGG
rnacentral:rRNA from 1 species